rnacentral:rRNA from 1 species
GAGUUUGAUUCUGGCUCAGAAUCAACGCUGGCGGCGUGCCUAACACAUGCAAGUCGAACGCGAAAGCCCCGCAAGGGGCAAGUAGAGUGGCAAACGGGUGAGUAACACGUGGGUGACCUGCCUUCGAGUGGGGGAUAACGUCCCGAAAGGGACGCUAAUACCGCAUGACAUCCUGCCUUUGAAGAGGCGGAGAUCAAAGCUGGGGAUCGCAAGACCUAGCGCUUGAAGAGGGGCCCGCGUCCGAUUAGCUAGUUGGUGAGGUAAUGGCUCACCAAGGCAACGAUCGGUAGCCGGCCUGAGAGGGCGGACGGCCACACUGGGACUGAGACACGGCCCAGACUCCUACGGGAGGCAGCAGUGGGGAAUUGUUCGCAAUGGGCGCAAGCCUGACGACGCAACGCCGCGUGGAGGAUGAAGAUCUUCGGGUCGUAAACUCCUGUCGAAUGGGACGAACGGGUUGCGGGUUAACAGCCCCGCGACCGUGACGGUACCGUUAGAGGAAACCCCGGCUAACUCCGUGCCAGCAGCCGCGGUAAG